AGCUUGUACUGUGUGUUUUCUCUACUGUCUGUGUUGGGGAUGCCUUCUGUUGAAACUCAUUGCUUCUUCGUCUGAUGGACCAGCCUGCAUCUACCUUCUGAGUUUAGGGAUCUGUUUUUACCACAUAUGAGAUGUGACACCAGCAGAGGACUGGAUACAGCAGAGGGCCGGAGACGGUUGAGACAAUGUCGGCAGAAGUCCUACUCUACCAUAACAUGUUGUGUAUUUUCACAUUUACCCUGUCGUCCUGGUUACGUGUUUGCCAUGGGAUUACGACCGGUUGUGUGUUUAACACUGGGACCACCUCUUGGUCGGGUGAACAUGACUUUAUUUCAACCUGAGGAAUGAACUUUUGUACAAGAUUGACUUUUGGUGGUUUUCUGUGAGUUUUUGUGCUGUCUGCACGAGGUAUGGUCUGUGUGCCUUUAAGCGUCCUGCCUCGACAUGUUUACACAGCCACCGCGCUGUGUUGUAGACUUCAAUCAAUGGCUUUAUCAAUACACUUUACUUACAUACUGACCUGGUUACAUACCUCACUGUAACACCCUCUACCUCACUAUAACACUACUCCUGAACAGAACACCCUCUACCUCAGUAUAACACCACACCUCAACAGAACACCCUCUACCUCACUAUAACACUACACCUCAACAGAACAUCCUCUACCUCAACAGAACACCCUCUACCUCACUAUAACACUACACCUGAAUAGAACACCCUCUACCCCAUUAUAACAGUACACCUCAACAGAACACCCUCUACCUCACUAUAACACUACGCCUCAACAGAACACCCUCUACCUCACUAUAACACCACACCUCAACAGAACACCCUCUACCUCACUAUAACACCACACCUCAACAGAACACCCUCUACCU